UACGUAGGUGGCAAGCGUUGUCCGGAUUUACUGGGCGUAAAGAGCGCGCAGGCGGUCGGAUCAGUCGAAUGUGAAAGCCCCCGGCUCAACUGGGGAGGGUCAUUCGAUACUGGCCGACUCGAAGGCAGGAGAGGGAAGCGGAAUUCCCGGUGUAGUGGUGAAAUGCGUAGAUAUCGGGAGGAACACCAGUGGCGAAGGCGGCUUUCUGGCCUGUUCUUGACGCUGAGGCGCGAAAGCUAGGGGAGCGAACGGG
rnacentral:rRNA from 1 species